AUUCCUUGACAAUGGGAAUAGAGACACCUUGUUGGUGUUGGUGUUCUCAUAUCAGUCAGGACACAAUUGAUGGCAGUACUUUGUUUAUCCUAACUUGAUGCCUGGCUUUGUGGCCAAAGCUGUUUUAUGUGCCUAGGACAAAUAA